CUACUCUGGCAGUUCCCCACUCCAUCUCUACUUCUUCACUCGUAGAUGCCAACUACACUGCCCAAACUGCCUCUCGCAGUCCGCGUCCACGUAUCUCGAGUUCUUGUCUACAGGACCGUCACUAAUGUGGCAACUUUUUUACCUUACCUUUCCGAGGGAGCUGCGAUUCCUUGGUUGAUGAAGUCUUCGAUGGGUGCAUCAUUGAGAGAGUGAGGACUUUGGCCUGUUGGUCUCGGUAGGGGUGUCGGCGACGGGAAGCGAUGCGAACUGUGGGGGGUUGAGUUGUGUAGCGAUAUUGAUCGCUAAUGUAGCUGCAGUAGCAUGGUGGUGGAAUGGGCCGCUUCUUUCUUUCAGUUGCAGUCUUGCCUCGUCUAUCAUGUGCUGAGGGAAGGAUUUUUGCAUUGAUAGUGUCUAUGACGUGGUCGUCGGUGUGACGAAACCCUGGUUGUAGCGACUGGUGCAUGCAUCGGCUGGGAUCAUUUCUAGGGUGAUCACCAGUUUUAGGAAAUCGCAAUUCGAUGCCAUAAGCAUUGGAGUUGAGCAGGAUGCCGAGGUUGAGGCGCUAUUGCAGGCGAGAAGGUGCGAUCGACUACCAGAUGCCUGGUGCCAAUCCUGGUACCCUGAGACUGAAUGCUUGUGCCCGCUUUCUUGCAGCGUCAAUACUGUCGGGCAAGGGGGUAACUGAUGAUGAUAAGAACUUGAGGUGAGACAGAAUAAUGCCGCAUUCGAUUUCUCUUAGUUUGUAUCGACCGGCGAAUCCCUCGACGUUGUCUCUGCCGCAGAGGUAAGAUAGCUCUGACUGACAUCUAUGGUAAGUUCCUGCAGGUAGAAAGGAUCCUCUUUGAGCUUGAUGUAAUCUCCAAGUCCUGCAGGUGAGCACUGUUAGGGUCUGUUUCUGGUGCCUUUAAUCUCACGCAGGGGCAUCUGGAUUGUUUCGGCGUGGAACAGACAAGUACUGAACUGCUCUACACGUCAUGCUGACACUAAGAUAACUAGUGGUACUGCUCAUCAUUAGCAGCUCAUAAGUUUUCUCACAAGGUUUGAAGAAUAUGAACCACGCGGGAUGAUGACAAUGUUUGCCCGUGUAAGCCAUAUGAAAUUCCACCUAAUGAAUGAUAUGAGGACCAGAGCCCUGCAGCAGCUAAAGAACAAGAUUCGUUCCUCCUGGUGAACUUGACUUCAUGAAGUUGCUGAUAACACGAGAUUUGGUGUGAGCAGAUGUCCGAUGGAUUCUAUUCAAUUGGAUCCAUACGAUGGAGCAUUAACCUUGAUUUUUUGUGGUAAAUGCUGUGCUCUUUCAGUGACCGAGGUUCAGGCCAGCUUCUAAUCCCUGAGGCAGAUUGCCUGUCGAAUGCCUCCUGUGUUAUGAUAUUCGUCUGCUGCAGGUCGGCUUGGAGAUUGGAUGGGACUUUGUCGUGGGGAUUGACGCAUGGCACGAAGCUAACAUCCUGAGAUCAGUUGCUUCGGACCAGGCUUCAUUCCCCUUGCCUAAGUUGCAUCAUGUAGUGCUCAAGACAAGACUUUCGAAGAUCUUCGGUGUGUGUGGCGCUUUGUCGAAGAUGUUAUAUAUAUGUGACAUUGCCGUGAGGAAUGACGUGUGGCCCGAAGCCAUAUCUUGGGUUGCCUUGAUGAAGCUCCGGACCAGGCUUCAUUCCCCUCGGCAGAGUUGCAACAAGUGGGAAAGGGCUGUCCUUUAAGUUGUGCAAUAUCCUGGUACCUCACGGUCAGAACGUUGAUAUGCGCAGUACAAUCCGAGAAGCCGUGAGGAAAUGACCAGUGGCUUGACAUCAUCUUUGCAUAUCAAACUGAUAUCCGGGCCGAGCACUAUUCCUGUUCUUAAGGAUACGUGACAAUACUGCGAACAAGAUUCGGUUGAAGCCGACGGUCAGUUUGUGGCUAGUAUAAAAACUCCAACUUGGGACUCAGCAGUACGGAAUGGGUUGUAUAUGUUAGGCCUCUGUUUAAUUCGCGGCUCCGGAUCGGGCUCCAUUUCGCCCGCCUAUGUUUUAUGCUGAUUCACAUUUCAUGAGACGAUGCUAAGCGGAGAGAUCGUGCAAUUCGUAUAUGCCAAGAUCUGAUGCUUUGUCAGCAUGUCUCCAAGUUUCGACUCGGGCAUGACUUCUCUCCGCUCAGUAACAUUCAGAGCAUCGACGGUGACUUGUUCAGCAAGACAACGUGCGUCUGUUUCCCACGGUCUAGAAAUUAUCAUAGCACUGAACAGCAGGUCACUCCAUCGCAACUGGAUCUACGUUUAGUCUCUCAUCAGUACCGUCUUUAAGGAGGAAACAUGCUUGAGAAAUGACCUUUGUGUGGAGGUUGUCUGCUUCCAACCUUGGCCUUGGUGAUCAUGUUAGUGAGCAGGAUGAGUGUGCGGGAAGUGGCAGUUGCACCGUCACUUUGCCAAUUCCUCGUAGAGGAAAGGAUAAGUAGAUCAAGUACAAAUGUGAGAAGUGGCUUGUAUGCAAAUAUAUGUGACGUGAAUGAUUGCCCAGAUGUCGGAAGUGGGAAGUAUGCGUUGUACCAUAGACGAUUAAGGCAACACGGAGCUUGUUAGAUUAUUCAGUUUCCAUUCCCAUUUGGUAGAUCGCUACCGAUCUGAUGUACAGCCUCCACUGAGGAGAAAUACAUGUCAGUACCUUACUGAUCUACUUUCCCUUUUCGAUUGC